rnacentral:rRNA from 1 species
AGUGAACGCUGGCGGUAGGCCUAACACAUGCCAGUCGAACGGCAGCACAGAGGAGCUUGCUCCUUGGGUGGCGAGUGGCGGACGGGUGAGGAAUACAUCGGAAUCUACUCUGUCGUGGGGGAUAACGUAGGGAAACUUACGCUAAUACCGCAUACGACCUACGGGUGAAAGCAGGGGAUCUUCGGACCUUGCGCGAUUGAAUGAGCCGAUGUCGGAUUAGCUAGUUGGCGGGGUAAAGGCCCACCAAGGCGACGAUCCGUAGCUGGUCUGAGAGGAUGAUCAGCCACACUGGAACUGAGACACGGUCCAGACUCCUACGGGAGGCAGCAGUGGGGAAUAUUGGACAAUGGGCGCAAGCCUGAUCCAGCCAUACCGCGUGGGUGAAGAAGGCCUUCGGGUUGUAAAGCCCUUUUGUUGGGAAAGAAAUCCAGCCGGCUAAUACCUGGUUGGGAUGACGGUACCCAAAGAAUAAGCACCGGCUAACUUCGUG